GAGGUCGAUAUUCGACGUCAUAAACACGAUAAACUUUGGUGUUUAUAACGUCGAUAUUCGACGUCAUAAACACGAUCAACUUAGAUGUUGAUGACGUUGAUAUUCGACGUCAUAAACACGAUAAACUUUGAUGUUUAUGAGAUCGAUAUUCGACGUCAUAAACACGAUCAACUUUGAUGUUUAUGACGUCGAUAUACGACGUCAUAAACACGAUCAACUUUGGUGUUUAUGACGUCGAUAUACGACGUC